GCCUGGCACAGUGGCUCAAGCCUGUAAUCCCAGCACUUUGGGAGGCUGAGGCAGGUGGAUCACAAGGUCAGGAGUUCGACACCAGCCUGGCCAAGAUGGUGAAACUGCGUCUCUACUAAAAAUGCAAAAAUUAGCCAGGCGUGGUGGCGGGCACCUGUAAUCCCAGCNNNNNNNNNNGCUGGGAUUACAGGUGCCCGCCACCACGCCUGGCUAAUUUUUGCAUUUUUAGUAGAGACGCAGUUUCACCAUCUUGGCCAGGCUGGUGUCGAACUCCUGACCUUGUGAUCCACCUGCCUCAG
rfam:Gorilla gorilla gorilla genomic chromosome, chr13, whole genome shotgun sequence